GCCAGGCUGACUGGAAGCCAUCUGCUAAGGCUCCAGCUCUGAGCCCAUGAAACAGGCACAAAAAGAUGAUCCUGACCACAUAAACGCCGGAUCUUUUAAUAUCACUGAAUGGAGAAUGACUCCAGCUUUAAUCCGAUACCCGCACAAAGCUUAUCGCAUACCGGGUGAGCAGAGGCGGCCGCCGCCAGCCUACACGAGGCCAAGAACUUGAACGCCUGCAGCCAAUACACGCAGUGUGGCGACACGGGGAAGCGCUCCAUCGAGAUGCCCGAGCAGGAGACGCCACACAAAUGAAGCCUCCCAAUGUGGAGCGUCCCCUGACCCGGGGCACGGCCCCGCUUUCCCCAUAGGCCGGCGGGGAUUCUCACCACAGAGGGAGCUCCCACGUGGGGUGCGUGCUGAUCGCCUGUACUGGCAAAGGCUGCAUAACAAACAGCCGGCCAGCAGAUGUGGAUGCCAACACAGGGGAUAGUGUGAAUGCGCUCUUAAAGCGUCUCUACCUAAAAUUGGUACCCACACUCCCUCAAUGAAGUGAGCACAGGGACAUGCAGGGAGAUCCUUUGAUCUCCCAUUCAUCUGGUGAAGGGCCCACUCAAAAUAGGAGCUCCAGGCCUAGACAGGGGCCAAGCAGGUCAUGGCUGCCUAACAAGUAAUCCGGCUCUGCACAUUCACUACCAGGUAUUGGAUGACAUAUAUAAGGUGUCAUUGUCCCCGUGGCCAAUAUAUAGUCACACUAAUCAUGAAUCACUGUCAAUAUUCAACAUCAUAUUUUUCCAGAUCGCAAAGAACAGGAAAUGUGUGUUCUGUGAACAUCUGUGAACAAUGUUUUACAGAUAGACUUUAACUGAAACAAUCCUAUUACAUGCAGAGAGGUGAAUAAAACGUUCUUGGCUACUACAAAGAAAAAGUGAAGUAAAGGAAUUUCUGGUGUUUCUGGUGUACAUGUUGAGACGAGUAUUGUGGUGGGGACCAUGGCAAAAGUCUCAUUCACUCAGAUUUCUAUAAAUACUUGUGUUACAGGAAGCAGUCACGUUGGCAUUCCUUGGUUGAAUGCUGCUCCACCUACAAUGUAAUGUUAGACUGCAAAGGACAACAGGUUACUGGCUUAAUGCACAAUGUGGAUCUUGAUCAGGUUAUUUGCUGCUAAGCUACGCUCAUGAUUUGUUCUAGUACCUUAAAAAAAUAGCAAUUAAGAAGCAUUAGCAAUUUACAGCUCACUUACCGAUCACGCUUAGUAAUGAAAC